UCAGAAAAAUACUGUUCUCAGCGUCUUUCCUGGAUUAACCAGAGUAACGGGGAAGUUGUCUCAGAAAAUAAAUGUCGCAUGUGUAAUAGGCCGAUAGUGUUGGAACAUCAUAACAACUUAUUCACCGGUAUCAUAUACUGGGGUAACGUUAGCGACAGAUCUCACAUAAAUAUAUCUGAAAACAAAGCCAACCUCCAGCUGUUUGCACAGCGAGAUACCACUAGAGGCUCAGUGGUUUUGGCCUCUUUGAUACCUUGUGAAGACCAUCCCAGGCGGAGUUUACCAUACAGGGGAAUCAAAUGCGCAGCUACACACGAUUCUGACAUACAAGGUCACUCAUCAGGGAGCCAAGGUUUGGCUCGGACUCUAAACACAGCCAGCACUCAACCUGAAGCCUGCCUUCUCCUCUGAUCUGCUGACUCACUCUGCACAUAGUGGACCAUUGAGUCCAGGAGGGAGGAAUACCAGCAAGAGGUAGACCGUGUAGCUGAAAGGCUUGGAGAUGACAGGUACAGCAGUACAGAAGCUUUGCUGUUUUUUUAAGCAGAGAGCAAGCACUCAGGGGUUACAAACACCCACGCACAAAUAUUUUAGUGUGCAGACAAAUAUUUUUGUGUGUGGGUGUUUGUAACUGUAACACACAUACAGAGAGAGGGAGAGCACAAGAGCAUAUUUUCUAUUUUCCAUGCCCUGGGCGUUAGACAUACCAGGAGCGACAGAAAUCUCGCCAAGUGGGAUAAGAUCAUAAAACUGCAGAGGCACUCUCCUCUCAUUUUCAACUAAAUGGAUAAAAUGGUGUCAGCAUGUUACUGCGAGCCCCUCCGGAUCUGAAUUGCUGGCAGGACUAUAAACUAAAGCAGUUACUCCAUGACAGACACUGAAUCCUUUCCCAUCAAGAAAUAUUUCAUUUGAAAUGGUGUAGCAAUUGCAAAAAAUAUCAGAAAAUAAAGUAAG